CAAAGGUUGUUGCUGGCAAAAGUUACGGCAGCGCCGCCGUGUGGUGCUUACGAGGUUUGCAGCAUGACUUUUGUUACCUUUAACACUGGUUGUCUGCUAUGAACGAUGUUCAAAAUGUUAGAAACAUCGAAUUCAUUGCACUACAAUCUAAAACAACAAUCAUAAACACAUUAUUCAAAUACUACUCUUUAUGACAGCUACCAUUGUAAAUACUGAUUUUUCAUGUUGGAUCUCUCAAUCGAUGAACAGGCGAACGUAAUAUUGUGGCCACAUGAAGGGCUAGAAAGCCACGCUCCUCACAUAUUGUCCCAAAUGUUCAGCGACUCCAGAACUAGAAAAAGUACACAAAUAAAUUAUCACUAAAUGUUAAACUGGAUAAAAAUGCAUAACAAUACUGUGCAGAGUGACACAAAGGAUCUUUGUUGGGAGGUCACACUCUACAUCACAUGUACUUAAUGUAAACAAGCAGCACAAAUUGGGACUACCAUGAAACGCACACAAAUGUUCAAAAAUUCAUUUUGUCCCCAACGUGAUCGUCCGUGUGACUUGUGGGAUGUUUUCUCAUUUUCACAAAGUACUGGAGGCUUUAACUGUAACUAAUAAACACCAGUAACGUCUGAUAUGUGGGUCAUAUGCAGAGGAGACGGCAUGGGGGCACUGCGUGGGAUUAGGGCUUGAGCCAGUUUGUGCGAUCAGUAGACACAGGAGUUAAUCCAACACACAGAUAGACGUGUAAACAAAAACACAGACAUUCAGUGUUACCUCACUGGAGGUCGUGUUUGUUGAUUUGUGUGGUGACGGAUUAGAUUACCGUAAAAGCUCCAAUUAACGCUUCAAUUCCUUUAACUGCAGUCUCCAAAAGUAAAUAACCACCCGGGUCUCUGAUUAGCGCCACUUUACGAAAACACUGGCAUUAUUUUUUACAGAUAUUUUUUUAUUGACUCGAGACUGCAAGAUGGCAGGAGCUUGAUGUAAAGUACCAUGGGUGGUCAGCAUCCAGCGGCUUUGUCUAGCUCUGCAUGUGCUUUAAAUUGUGGCCACUUAGCUGUUAGUGUGGCAGUCGUCUGUGUUACACUUGUUCACGCAGUUUCAUUAAUCAGUUGACUCAUUUAUGUCUUGUUUCUUUAAACUAGAUUGAAAUUCUCCUUAAGUUACAAGGUCAGAUAAGUUUCAAGUCAUUUUGGAGGUCAUUCAAUGGUGCAGCAAACUGGAUGCUGUCUUACCUAACCCUGUUCUGACUCCAGGAACCAGCAUUAGUAUGUUUUUCUGAGAAUAUACUUUUGUUGGUGUUUAUGCAUGUAAGAGCAGAGGGAACAUGGAAGGAGUCCAAGAAUGCAUGUUAGAAAUCAAAGACAACCUACGAACAUGCAGAAACUCAGACACUCAGUCACAGCAUCCAACGUACAACGGUGAGACGUUUUUUUAUGAUUGUCAGAUGCAUCCAUUAAAAGGAGAUCACCGUAAUCCAGCAGCAGAAAUUAAACAUUUCCUUGCAUGAAAAGAGAAACAGGAUAUGUUUACGUACAGGAUGCUCAAAGUGUAACCCGCCUGUUUUAGCCAGCCUGGGGCUGGGCUCAAACGCAGGACCUUCAGAAUGGUAGUCAAGAGUGCUGACCGCUGGGCCAAAAACACAGACUGUCAACCCAGCGCUCAGUACGGCUUUUAAGGCUGAGGGAGUGAGGUUUUACUCACGUAGACUUGUGCAGCCACACUGGCUGGCAUCUGUUACGAAAGGAGAAAGGCUCGCAAGCUGCUCGAAGGACAAAUUUUCAUCAAUAACAAUGCCUUGCAAGUACUUGUUAGAUGAGACCGUUUCUGAGCUGAGAUGGUAGCUGUUUUCCAUUUCAGAAGACCUUUACUGGAUUUGUCUGCACAAGCCUUAGCUGUUGUCAAAGCGACUGAACAGCAGCAAACGCAGACUGUAAGAAAUCAAAGGCUUGCAACAAUAGAUGCUCUUUUCGGCACUGGCACCUUAUCGCGGUGGAGGAGUUUGAGUGUCCCAAUGAUCCAAUGAGCCAGGUUGUCGGGUGGCUUUUAUGCCCCUGGUAGGGCCACCCAAGGCAAACAGGUCCUAGGGGAGUGACCAGACAGAGAGUAGCUCAAAAGACCCCAAUGGUGAGUGACAACUUUGGAUAUACCUGGACGCGGGUCAACGGGGACUCCCUCUGGGGGCGGGGCUUGAUGGAGAGCACCUCGUGCCCGGGGCUGCACCCAUGGGGCCAGAUUAGGCACAGCCUGAGGAAGCAACAUGGGUUCCCCCUCCAAGGGGCUCAGGUGCAGUGUGAGAUGAAAAGUAGGGAUCUUGUUGGUCUGAUACCUCGGUUGGGUCUUGUGAGUGAGGGUCAGAUGACUUGUGAGAUCGACAGGCAGAUUACGCAGACUGGCGUACAGGGACCUGAGCCGACAGGCAAAGCUUUCGCUGUACCGGUCGAUUUACAUUCCUACCCUCAUCUAUGGUCUUUGGGUAGUGACUGAAAGCACACGAUCAAAAUUAGUUUCCUCCAUAGGAUAGCUGCUCGCUCCCUUAAAGAUAAGGUGAUAAGCACUGUCAUUCGUGAGGAGCUCAGGGUAGUGUUUCUACAUUGGGGAGGUGUUCAGGGCAGUAGGAGGCCUCUGGGAAGACCCAGGACAUGUUGGGGAGACUCGGGAGGAGCUGGACGAAAUGACCAGGGAGAGGGAAGUCUGGGCUUCUCUGCUUAGGCUGCUGCUCCCAUGACUUGACCGUGGAUAGGCGGAAGAAAAUGAAUGGAUGGACGGUAGGAAGGAACUAUAGAUGACUGUGUCUAUCAUGCGCAUAAAAUUGAAGAAAGGCCCAGAACAGAACCCUGGGAUACUCCUUUGGUUAGUCGUCUAAAACUCAGCCAGUCAACCAAAGUAGUUAAGUUGGCUACACUGAUCCCUGCUGCUACAUCUUCUUAUUCCCUGGCAGACCAGGUGCUUAUGAGGUGUGUUAAGAAGCAGAAAAGAGUUACGAUGCCAUGUACUGUAUGUAGUUGGAAUGGCAGGCUACGUUCACAGACAGCCCCGUUAUAAUGUGUUUAUGAGUGAUGUUAUAUUAUACACUGAUGAUAUACCACUGCCGCAUGGUGGUCUAGUGGUUAGCAAGUUGGCCACAUAGUCAGGAGAUCAGGAAGAUCUGGGUUUGAAUCUCCAUUGGGCAUUUCUGUGUGGAGUUUGCAUGUUCUCCCCAUACGUGCGUGGGUUUUCUCCGGGUACUCCGGUUUCCACCCACAUUCCAAAAAAAAAAAACAUGCAUGUUAGGUUAAUUGGCGACUCUAAAUUGUCCAUAGAUAUAUGUGCCCUGCGAUUGGCUGGCGACCAGUCCAGGGUGUACCCCGCCUCUCACCUGAAGUCAGCUGGGAUAGGCUCCAGCAUACCGGUGACCCUAAUGAGGAUAAGCGGCAUAGAAGAUGAAUGUUUACCACAUUUUAGUCAUAAUAUUAUUAGUAUGACGCCUUUUGUUACUUCUAGGCAGCUUUAGUUGAUUAAUCCCAUAAAAGAAAUUAAGGAUAAUCUCAUCAACACUACAAUAUUCUGUGUGUCAAACUGAACUGCUAAGAUUACUAUGAAGAUUUGGAUUCUUUCCAGUUAAGUCCAGAGGGUGGAUGCAGAUCAAUUAAGGAGAAGAAAUCGAAAAAAAAAGUAUUUUUAAAUCCUUCCUAUAAUCUGUCAGAUAAAAAUAUGGCAGGUCGACUCUCAAUCUGGGUCGUCCAGCAGCAGCGGCGGCCGUAAUCCGUCCUCACACACACACACACACACACACGGGCCUGAUGCCAAGUUGUGUCGUCCAUUAGAAAACCUCCCUCAGGUUGCCUUGACGACAGGACUCGCACGCUCCUGCGCCUUAUCAGAGGGGUGAAAAAGGCGCCGUGACCCCUCGAUGAGUUUGUUCAAGUACAAGAAUGCAAGCUGACGUCAGGCCAAGGCCAGAGGAAAGGAGUCAUCGUGUAUGUUUUUUAAUAAACGACAUGCAAAGAGCCGGUUUGUGCUUGUUCAAAAACACCGAGGACAAGAUGUUAUCGCUUGGAAUGCAUUAAACACACACAAGCGCAGACUUGGACGGUGUGUAUUGUGGUGUUGCGUGUCGGUUUUGGGGAUUUUUUAACCUGUUACUCGUUGGCCAUGCGUAGAGACAGAUUGGGACUCUGCAUUGAGAAACAAAGCUGCGAGCGUCAUCCACCACGUUUAUAGCAUCUUUCCAUGCCAAUAUCUUUACUUUUGCAGCAUUUGGUCCUUUUGUCUACAUGACAACAGCUUUUACGCCACCAAAAACUGAUAUUUUGCUAAAUUUGUGACAUAUUUCGCCUGCACCAUUAUCGCCCGAUGUAAUUUUGUUUGUUUUUCUGCGUAUUAUUUUAUUAACUUAGUCUCGAAGUGUGAUAUGUGGAGUUUACUAUCCAUCUACAAGUUACUGUGCCUUUUUCCCCCCAAAGUGACUUUCUUCAGGCUUCUGAUUGGUUGAAAAUGCCCGCCAGGAAGUUGUAGUGACACCUGCAUAAAAAUGGUCACCACUGCAAAGUUGUGAGCAUCACCGAGUUUAUACUAAAAUCUUCACUCUCUGCAUUUUGUCCUUUAAAAGUCAUGUUGAGCUACUCCGCCGGUGCUAUAUAUACUUUAUGUGCAUAUACUGUAUAUGUUUCUUUAACUUAAUGCUGUAGUUAAAAGUCUAAUAUUCAGGAACAAGUCAGGAUUAGGGUGUUGUAGCUGCUUGUGGCGCCGCUUGUUGCUUUGCCAUGCACUUUAUAGCCCAUUUUAAUCAUACAUUUUAUCAAAUCAAAUUAGUAAUGCAAGCUAAAAUGAAAAUAUUUUUAAAAAAUGAAAAAGACAUCAAUCACAUUCUUAUUAGAUUAUAUAUUUUUUGUAUUUUUAAAGUAGGUUUGAAAAAGUAGAUUUAAUAUUACUAUAUUUAUACAUUUAAUAUUUAAAAUGUAAAAUAUUUAAAUUUGUAAUACUUAAAAAAUAUUUGAUUAAAUAUUUCCUGACUAUCACACGCAAAAAAGCAAAAACAUUUUUGAUACACGAGGAAAAUAACGUAGUUUUUGUGAAUGAAAUACCGCUUGUUCAUAUGAAAAUGUAUUUAUGUAUUAAAUAGCUAUAUAUUUGAUCAAAUUUCAUAUCAUAAGUUUAUAUUUUUAUUAUAUUAAUUCUGUAAUUACCUUUUGUGUCAGGAGAAAGGUAAUGCGAGUGAUGGGGCAGGAUAUGCUAAACCUUUGCUUCUUCCUGCUCCUUUUUGGGCACAUUACUUGUGACUUUUGCUUCUAGUACCUCUAUAUUGUUUAUCAUAUUAUACAGUAAAUUUAAAUGAUCUUGCUUGAGGCUAUUUAUAAUGUGUUCAAGAAUUGAAAUGAACUAUAAAGUUUGUGAGUUACAGCUAAUUUGAAGAGGUCCUUUUAGGCAGUCAAAUUGUGGAAUAUUUAUUUUUUUGCGUAGCUCUGGUCUUAGCCAUGUGAGACGCUAGCUUUAGUUGACUUGGUUUUAAAAAGAAGAGGAAAAAAAGGUCAGAUUGGGUUAAUGUUCCUCCAGACGCUGAUGUGAUCAACACGUCUGCGAUUAAACCAAGUUAAUAAUUAACAUCCUGUACUUGGUGUACUACGUGUGAAUGAGGGGUAAAAGACAAAAAGCACACGUUAAAGAAAGUUAAAGCAGUUUCAUUUGGAAUAUGAAGGCAGGCAGAAGACUGCAGUAAUAAAAAUAUAUAUCAUCAAACUGCCACGACACAAUGAAAGGGCGUUCGUUAACCUGCAAGAAUAAAUAAAAAGAACGCAGGCCCGCUUCUGGGGGCCCGUUUUAGUCCUGAGCCUUCAACAAAAAUCAUUUUUGACGCACUGAGACACAUUCAUGAGGUCCUGCGUGGAUUCUUUGUCCCACAACAUGAAACAUAUAAAAGUUUGCAUUUUAAAAAAAAAAAGAAAGAAAGAGAAAAGGUCACAAGCGAAAGCGGUGAGCAUCGUGGGUGAAGGCAAUGUAAGGGGUGUAACUGCUGUUGAGGUAAGCCCCGCCCCCCAGUCUGGAGUACACAGGGAAGGCGGGCUCCAUAUGCAUCCUCUUGCUGAACUUGGCGCCUCUAUCCACGUGGUGUGUGCUGCCCCCUGCUGGACACGUGGAGGGACUUGCGGUGGAAAAGUGCAUGCAGAGGUGCUCCUCAGGGUCCCAGAUGGGGCGCCUCUUCUGGGGCAGCAACGCUGAGUGAUGCUGAUGCUGAUGCUGCUCGGCUAGGAUGGGCAUGCUGCACCGCGAUGGGUCUCUAGAGGCGGGGCUGUCCCGUUUCAGGAGGGACUCUAUGGAGAAUGGACCGCUGAACUUGACCUCGCAUCGGAUCUGAACCGAGUCACAGGAGCUCGCCUCGGGGGAGGUGGGGAGGACACCCGCGUUCUCGGCGUCCUCCCCUCUGGAGGUCAAUUCGGGGAAGAAGUCCAGCACGUCCUUGAAGUGACGGCGCACCAUUUUACUGGUGAGCUGACUCAGGUCCAGUUUCCAGAAGUUUCUCUUGCUGCCCACAGAGUUGCGAAACAGCGGAAUCUUGGCGGUGAGAGGGGGAGAAGACAUUUGUGUGGGUCAAAAGGACAAACUUGGGGGUUCUCAACAGCCAGAGCAAAAGUGUGGACACCCCUGUAUUAAUACUUCCUGUCUUCUCGGAUCAGCGGUCCCAGCCUGUCCAUCAACUACAAGACAAACAUGAAGAUGACGACGGCGAUCCUGGCCAAGUAGGUGGUGCUCCUCCUGAACACGUCGCCAGCCGGAGGCAGCAGAGCUCUGACCUUGUCGUUGGUGGUCUGCAUGCUGCUAGAUGGAAGAUCAGGAGUGAU